CUUUCCUAGACUAGUACUUUCUAAAUUCAGAUGAAGUAUCUGAACUAUCCCAGGAACUUGAGACAUGCAUGCAGUCCCUAACACUAGCUGCUUGGAGAGACACCAGCCAGUAGCAACCAGCUUGCCUUGCUUAGAGAAUCUUGAGGGACAUUUGUCUACUGAUAACAUAUCCAUUUUGUGUGUUUUUCUUCAGGUGAUGCAGACAGAAAGCAUUGUAAAUUUAAGCCUGAUCCCAAUAUCCCUCCAACCUUCAGUGCCUUCAAUGAAGAUUAUGUUGGAAGUGGGUGGUCACGAGGACACAUGGCUCCAGCAGGAAAUAACAAAUUUUCAAGUAAAGCCAUGGCUGAAACCUUUUACCUUUCUAACAUUGUGCCUCAGGAUUUUGAUAAUAAUUCUGGAUAUUGGAACAGAAUAGAAAUGUACUGUCGAGAGCUGACAGAAAGGUUUGAAGAUGUUUGGGUGGUAUCUGGGCCUUUGACCUUACCUCAGACUGGAGGCGAUGGAAAGAAAAUAGUUAGUUACCAGGUGAUUGGCGAGGACAACGUGGCAGUCCCCUCACACCUUUAUAAGGUAAUCCUGGCCCGCAGAAGCUCAGUAUCUACCGAACCACUGGCGCUAGGGGCCUUUGUGGUACCCAAUGAAGCCAUCGGCUUCCAGCCCCAGUUAACUGAAUUCCAAGUGAGCCUCCAGGACCUAGAGAAGUUGUCAGGACUGGUGUUUUUUCCUCAUUUGGAUAGAACUAGUGAUAUCCGGAAUAUCUGCUCUGUGGACACCUGUAAGCUCCUGGAUUUCCAGGAGUUCACCUUGUACUUGAGUACAAGAAAGAUUGAAGGAGCCCGAUCAGUGCUCAGACUGGAAAAGAUCAUGGAAA
rnacentral:sRNA from 1 species